CCCGAAUACAUUAGCAUGGGAUAAUGGAAUAGGACCCUGUCCUCCUAUUUUCAGUUGGUUUUGGCAGCGCGAGGACUAGGGUAAUGAUUAAUAGGGAUAGUUGGGGGCAUUAAUAUUUAAUUGUCAGAGGUGAAAUUCUUGGAUUUAUGAAAGAUUAACUUCUGCGAAAGCAUCUGCCAAGGAUGUUUUCAUUAAUCAAGAACGAAAGUUAGGGGAUCGAAGACGAUCAGAUACCGUCGUAGUCUUAACCAUAAACGAUGCCGACCAGCGAUUAGGAGACGUUGAAUACAAAACACCACCAUCGGCGCGGUCGUCCUUGGCGUCGGUCCUUC
rnacentral:rRNA from 1 species